GACAGUGGCGGAUUAACCGAACAGCAGAAAAAGCAUAUGCUAAGGGCCCCGCGCCUAAGGGGGGCCCCGCGCUCCGACCCUGACCAUGCGAUUUCGGCAUGCGGAAACGGCCAAGUUCAAGUAGAACUCGCACUCCGCGGAUCCUGUACUACCACAUUUUAUUUACAAUGUGCAGUGUUGGGGAAGGUGCAAACUUUUGUGCAUGGCUAAGCUGCAGGAAACGGUAGAGCUCGGAAACGAACAAAAGAAAAUACUGUGUUUAAAAACAUAUUAGUGAAAAGCAAAGAAGGAUGAUUUAUUUACUAAUUAUUAUUUCAAAUAACAAAUUGCACCUUACAGCUAAUGCCUAAUGAUGAUCAGCUUUGAGUCCGAAGGAGGCCAAAGGACGCGCUCCUCUACGGCUGGCCGGGCGCCCAAAAUAUUCAGAGUUGCUGCAAAGCCGUGAUACAUAUGAUCUAAUUGUCAAAAUGUUAUAAAAAGAAAACAGCGGGGCCUCUAUGCAGGGCUUUGCAUUCGCAUAAGCAAGUCGCACUUUCGAGCAAGAACUAAGGCCGAGCAGCAGGCAAGCCGAGAUCAAUUCCAAACUCUGUUCUCCUACAAUUCAGUCUUUGCAUGGUGGCGCGCCGUGAUUGAACGCUCCGGGCCUCCACCCUUAUACGGAGCUCGGCCUACGGCCUAGUUCACACUCUGGCAUUGGUUUCAUUCUAGGCUCUGCUUUCCUGCAGCUUGGCCUUCAGUUUCGCACGGGAACGCUACGAAAUCGGGUGGUCCGAUCGGUCCGGAUAUUCAGCUCGUGGGGCUCAGCCUUCGGCCUUGUUUUUUGGCUCACUUAGCCAUUAGUUCCCACUUCUUAGGUCCGACUCACUUUUCACCUAUUUUUACAAGCUUUUAUUAAACUAAAUAAUAUUGAUGUUGUUAAACAGUA